rnacentral:rRNA from 1 species
CUAGCUGGUCUGAGAGGAUGACCAGCCACACUGGAACUGAGACACGGUCCAGACUCCUACGGGAGGCAGCAGUGGGGAAUAUUGCACAAUGGGCGCAAGCCUGAUGCAGCCAUGCCGCGUGUAUGAAGAAGGCCUUCGGGUUGUAAAGUACUUUCAGCGGGGAGGAAGGGAGUAAAGUUAAUACCUUUGCUCAUUGACGUUACCCGCAGAAGAAGCACCGGCUAACUCCGUGCCAGCAGCCGCGGUAAUACGGAGGGUGCAAGCGUUAAUCGGAAUUACUGGGCGUAAAGCGCACGCAGGCGGUUUGUUAAGUCAGAUGUGAAAUCCCCGGGCUCAACCUGGGAACUGCAUCUGAUACUGGCAAGCUUGAGUCUCGUAGAGGGGGGUAGAAUUCCAGGUGUAGCGGUGAAAUGCGUAGAGAUCUGGAGGAAUACCGGUGGCGAAGGCGGCCCCCUGGACGAAGACUGACGCUCAGGUGCGAAAGCGUGGGG